rnacentral:tRNA from 1 species
GGCAGUUAGCUCAGUUGGUUAGAGCGUGGUGCUAAUAACGCCAAGGUCGCGAGUUCGACCCUCGUAGUGAUCA